rnacentral:rRNA from 1 species
UACGCGGCGAGGCCUAACUACAUAGCAAGUCGGACGGGGAGUCCAGGGAUUAGCUUGCUAGAAUGGUGAGAGUGGCGCACGGUGCGUAACGCGUGAGCAACCUACCCACUAUCAGGGGGAGUAGCCGAAGAAAUUACGGAUUAAGACCGCAUAAUAUUUCAAUACUGCAUGGUAUUGAGAUUAAAUAUUUAUAGGAUAUGGAUGGGCUCGCGUGACAUUAGCUAGUUGGUAAGGUAACGGCUUACCAAGGCGACGAUGUCUAGGGGCUCUGAGAGGAGAAUCCCCCACACUGGUACUGAGACACGGACCAGACUCCUACGGGAGGCAGCAGUAAGGAAUAUUGGUCAAUGGAGGGAACUCUGAACCAGCCAUGCCGCGUGCAGGAUGACUGCCCUAUGGGUUGUAAACUGCUUUUGUCCAGGAAUAAACCUGCAUACGUGUAUGCAGCUGAAUGUACUGGAAGAAUAAGGAUCGGCUAACUCCGUG